CCCCGAACGGUGGAUCACUCGGCUCGCGGAU
rnacentral:rRNA from 1 species